rnacentral:rRNA from 1 species
CCUACGUGAGGCAGCAGUGGGGAAUAUUGGACAAUGGGCGAAAGCCUGAUCCAGCCAUGCCGCGUGUGUGAAGAAGGCCUUCGGGUUGUAAAGCACUUUCAGUGGGGAAGAAAGCCUUGGGGCUAAUACCCUCGAGGAAGGACAUCACCCACAGAAGAAGCACCGGCUAACUCCGUGCCAGCAGCCGCGGUAAUACGGAGGGUGCGAGCGUUAAUCGGAAUUACUGGGCGGAAAGCGCGCGUAGGCGGUCUGAUAAGCCGGUUGUGAAAGCCCCGGGCUCAACCUGGGAACGGCAUCCGGAACUGUCAGGCUAGAGUGCAGGAGAGGAAGGUAGAAUUCCCGGUGUAGAGGUGAAAUGCGUAGAGAUCGGGAGGAAUACCAGUGGCGAAGGCGGCCUUCUGGACUGACACUGACGCUGAGGUGCGAAAGCGUGGGUAGCAAACAGGAUUAGAUACCCCAGUAGU